rnacentral:rRNA from 1 species
UACGAAGGGGGCUAGCGUUGUUCGGAAUUACUGGGCGUAAAGCGCACGUAGGCGGGUUGUUAAGUCAGGGGUGAAAUCCCGGAGCUCAACUCCGGAACUGCCUUUGAUACUGGCAAUCUAGAGACUGGAAGAGGUUAGCGGAAUUCCCAGUGUAGAGGUGAAAUUCGUAGAUAUUGGGUAGAACACCAGUGGCGAAGGCGGCUAACUGGUCCAGUACUGACGCUGAGGUGCGAAAGCGUGGGGAGCAAACAGG